GCUCCAGUGGCGCAAUGGGUCAGUGCACAGUACUUGUAGGAGACAUGCUGAGGUUAUGAGUUCAAACCUCACCUGGAGCA
rnacentral:tRNA from 1 species